rnacentral:rRNA from 1 species
GAUCCGGGCUCAGGAUGAACGCUAGCUACAGGCUUAACACAUGCAAGUCGAGGGGCAGCAUUUUAGUUUGCUUGCAAACUAAAGAUGGCGACCGGCGCACGGGUGAGUAACACGUAUCCAACCUGCCGAUAACUCAGGGAUAGCCUUUCGAAAGAAAGAUUAAUACCUGAUGGCAUAGGAUUAUCGCAUGAUAAUCCUAUUAAAGAAUUUCGGUUAUCGAUGGGGAUGCGUUCCAUUAGGCAG